rnacentral:rRNA from 1 species
UACGGAGGGUGCAAGCGUUGCUCGGAAUUAUUGGGCGUAAAGGGCGCGUAGGCGGCGGGGUAAGUCGGGUGUGAAAUCUCAGAGCUCAACUCUGAAACUGCACUCGAUACUGCUCUGCUUGAGGACUGGAGAGGAGACUGGAAUUCACGGUGUAGCAGUGAAAUGCGUAGAUAUCGUGAGGAAGACCAGUGGCGAAGGCGGGUCUCUGGACAGUUCCUGACGCUGAGGCGCGAAGGCCAGGGGAGCAAACGGG